rnacentral:rRNA from 1 species
CCUACGGGGGGCAGCAGUAGGGAAUCUUCCGCAAUGGACGAAAGUCUGACGGAGCAACGCCGCGUGAGCGAAGAAUGUCUUCGGAUCGUAAAGCUCUGUUGUUCGGGAAGAACAAGUACGGGAGGAAAUGACCGUACCUUGACGGUACCUAACGAGGAAGCCACGGCUAACUACGUGCCAGCAGCCGCGGUAAUACGGAGGUGGCAAGCGUUGUCCGGAAUUAUUGGGCGGAAAGCGCGCGCAGGCGGUCUUUUAAGGCUGAUGUGAAAUCUUGCGGAUCAACCGCCAGCCGUCGAUGGAAACUGGGAAACUUGAGUGCAGAAGGGGAAAGCGGAAAUCCACGUGUAGCGGUGAAAUGCGUAGAGAUGUGGAGGAACACCAGUGGCGAAGGCGGCUUUCUGGUCUGUAAAUGAAGCUGAGGCGCGAAAGCGUGGGGAGCAAACAGGAUUAGAUACCCGAGUAGUC